CGUAGAGCUAAUACCGGAUAAUAUAUUGAACCGCAUGGUUCAAUAGUGAAAGACGGUUUUGCUGUCACUUAUAGAUGGAUCCGCGCCGCAUCAGCUAGUUGGUAAGGUAACGGCUUACCAAGGCAACGAUGCGUAGCCGACCUGAGAGGGUGAUCGGCCACACUGGAACUGAGACACGGUCCAG
rnacentral:rRNA from 1 species